CGCCCCCGUCUUCACGGCAGGCGCGGUAGUCCGUAGGGUUCGAGCGGUGUCCUGAAGUAUGGGGCGUAAAGGGCUCGUAGUCGGUUGGUCAGGUCGGGAGGGAAAACUCGGAGCUUAACUCCUAGCCUGCUUCCGAGACGGGCCGACUAGAGGUAUGCAGGGGAGAACGGAAUUCCUGGUGUAGCGGUGAAAUGCGCAGAUAUCAGGAGGAACACCGGUGGCGAAGGCGGUUCUCUGGGCAUUACCUGACGCUGAGGAGCGAAAGUGUGGGGAGCGAACAGGAUUAGAUACCCGGGUAGUC
rnacentral:rRNA from 1 species